rnacentral:rRNA from 1 species
UACGAAGGGGGCGAGCGUUGUUCGGAAUCACUGGGCGUAAAGGGCGCGUAGGCGGCCCUUCUUGUCGCGUGUGAAAGCCCCGGGCUCAACCUGGGACGGCGCGCGAGACGGGAGGGCUGGAGUUCGGGAGAGGAGCGUGGAAUUCCCAGUGUAGAGGUGAAAUUCGUAGAUAUUGGGAAGAACACCGGAGGCGAAGGCGGCUUGCUGGGCUCGGUCUGACGCUGA